AAGCUUCGUUACUGACAGAGAUAUAUUGUCAUGAGAAAAGAAUGGAAAAAGGUGAUAUGCUGCUUGAGAAUGCCUUCACAUACACCCGAUCGUGUGACACUGUCUACUGCACACCCACUAAAGCCAACUUUAGAGAGAACUGCUAAAGCCAGAUGAGGAAGUCAAAACUAAUAUAAGCCCCAUAGCCAAUGAGAGAGACACAGCGAGAGAGGGAACACAAGCAGAGGGAGUGGGAGUGGGAGAGGGAGAAGCAGGCUUCCCGCUGAGCAGGGAGCCCGACACGGGGCUCGGAUCCCAGGACCCAGGGAACACGACCUGAGCUGAAGGCAGACGCUUAACCGACUGAGCCACCCAGGCGCCCCUCUCUCACAUAUUUUAUUCACAGGGAGGAAAAAUGUGUGUUGUCAGAAGGACGAAAGAGGAAGUUCAACAGUUGUUUCCUCUGAUUCUGGAUUUACCUCUGGAUUACUGGAUUUAGUGAUUCUGGAUCACUUGAAGACAACUGGUUGAGUUGGCAGAUACUGUUUAUGGAUCCCUGAAGUUGUUGACAGCGUCCUUCAGCUGGAUUCACUCAUCUCGAAAUGGUGGGCACCUGCAGCUGCAGACCCCCAUCUGUGAUGUAAUCAAAAUAAGAUGAAGUCAUACUGCAUUUAGGGCGGGCCCUCUUCCAUUGACUUCUGUCCUUAUAAGAAGAGGAACAUUUGGACACAGACACACAGAGGGGGCCCUGUGAAGCUGGGGGCAGAAAUUGGAGUGAUCCACCCACAAGCCAAGGAACAUCAAUGUUUGCCAGCAGCCCCUAGGACCAAGGAGGUCUUGUGAGGCCCUGCGGACACCUUGAUUUCAGACUUCAAGCCACCAGAACCGUGAGACAAUACAGUUCUGUUUUUUUUUAAGUCUGUUUAUGUUGUUUGUGGGACUUUGUUAUAGCAAACCGAGGAAACUAACACAUACAUGUUGCAAGAGUAGCGUCCCUAAAGACAGGUGUUCUUAUUUCCUAAUUUAUCAGGGCACUUGUUUCAGUGACUAUCAUUUAGUAUAUAUUUGUUGGUGGUUUUUGGUAAGAAGUCUACCAUUAGUAGUUUCCCUUUAUUCCUGUUCUAUGUGCUACUUUUAUUAAUAAGGCUCUGAAUUUUACCAAAUGAUUAACAUUUAUUGUUAUUAUCAUGAGGCUUUCCUACUUUGCUUUUUGAUAGAAUGGAUUCUCUUUAUAUUUUUUUCAGAUAAUUUUCCCAUCCUUACGUUUAGAAUAAGCCCUACCUGGAAAUAAUGUGCUAGUCUUCUGACUUUAUAUCCUAAUAUUUUAUUUUGAAUGCUUCAUGUCUAUUCAUAAGUGAUGGUGGGCUGUGCUUUUAACUGUUGUUAUCAGGUUUAGCAUUAAAGUCUUGUUGGCUUCGUAAAAUGCAUUAGAGAGCUUUUCAUCUUUUUCUAUUCAGUUGGAAUACUUUAGAUUACAUUAAAAUUAACCUUUUUUCCCCCCUUAAUAUCAUAGAGAACUCACCUAUAAACCACUCUGGUUCUUGUGACUUUUUUUUUUUUUUUUAACAAAAAUGAGCACUUGAAAACAUUUAAACUUCUAUUAAAGUAGGAAGUAUUAUAUAAUGAACCUCUUCAUACCCAUACCUAGCUUUAACUCAAGUUGGAACUUUAGUUGGCAGGGAAACUGAAGCACCAAGCAAUGAUUUGUGAUUUUUAAAAUAAGUUUUGUGAUACCAGUGGAUUUCAACUCCUUUCCCAAAGCUAGAAUUUCCCAAAUUUUACCCAAGUUAUAAAGUUGAAAUAAUCUGUUACUUCCCCACUUGUCUUCUCAAGUAAAUUCAUCAAACAUUAAUUGAGGGUAGUAGAAUGCUACACCCUGCCUUCAGAGGGUGGGGACUAAAGGCUUGAACUGGGCUAAGGUCCCAGCUCAUUGAGUCUCAGUUUCCUCAUCUGCUCUGUGGGAUGGUGGUGAGGAUUAGGUGAAAUAGUACCUAGAAGACACAGAAGGGGGCUGCUGUGGGUUCUCACACAGAUAACCGCUUUAGGACCGAGGCACUCGCUCUUACAGCUGCUAGCAGUUGGCUGCCGAUGGCUCACAGAUGAAUCCUUCUUUGGGACUUGUCCUCACCUGAAAGGAACUGCACCGAACAAGGUUGUGCCCCAUCUUGAGCGUCAGCACAGGGCCAAAAGUUGUUCAGUUUUGUCUGGCUCCCCUGCGUCCAUGCAAGUCACCUCUGAAGGGCCAUCCAGCCUCCAAGCUCCCUGUGGCGUUGGCCGUGGCCGCUCUGUGUAGCUGCUAUGCCCGAAUUCUCUUGCUGCCCGGUCCUGUUUCCCUGAGCCCCCCACAGGAGUUGGUAAGCAGAGACUCUCCAGUAAGACUGCUGCAUGCAACUUCGGCCUCAGUCUGUUUCUGAGGGAUCGUAGCCCAAGACGGCGUUUCAAACAGGGCCUGGUAAACAUUCAAAAAAUGCUGUUACUGUGAACGGCUAUUGUAAUUCUCAUAGAUCUCAGGUAAUGCUGAACCUUUCCUGCUGACCUCAGAAAGUCUGCCCAGUCGUGUAGCGGUGGGGCUCACUCUCUCUCCACUGCAAUCACAUUCACUUCGGCGGGUGCCCUGGGGCCCGACUCGGAGCCGAGUGAUGACGUUAGGAAGUUUGACAGCUCCUAACGUAGAGAGGAUUUCUGCACCUGAGCAGAAUAAUGGCAUUUGUUGCUUAACACCGUCACAUACCUACCAGGAAGCAGUAGAAUUGGGCAUUUGUGUUUUGUAAUUCAGUGUUCAAUAUGUUGUGGGCUAUGUUGGUGCAAGCCGGCAGACAAAACUCCUUUGAUGCCAAAAGUUAAAGGGAAAGAAUCAUAUGGAGUUAAAAUAUUGAGAAAAUAUUGAUUAACAUUUUCUACAAUUCUGAUUUAGUCAUGAACCUCCUCAGUCUGGCUUAUGGGAGCCUACACUGAAAUCUGUGUGUGUGUGUGUGGGUGUGGAACAUGGCCCUAUGUGGGUAAGUGCAGACUAUUUGAGAUAUAUAAGCAGAUAGACUUCAUUCAACAUAUGUAAAUCAAGGAAGUGAAUCAGUCAGUUAUGUGACUAUUGUGGAUAAUUGAAGAUGGCGAUAGUGCCUAAAUUUGGUAUGGGGGGGUGGAGUAUUUUUAGUAAUUUGACUUUUUUUUUUUUCCUAAACUGCCUACAGAGCAGAUUUAACAUCUAUCUCAAAAUACUCUCAACAGUAAUUUACAGAAGUGUCAGAAAAACCUGAUAGGCUAACAUAUUGGCAUCAACAUGAUUCUUUAAUUUUAUUAUUAUUAUUUUAUUUAAUUUUUAAAUUUAAACUCUUAACUCAUCACCAUGGAGCUAUGUGGUCCAAUUAUUCUCUGGGCAGUGAUCAGAGGGUCUUUUGUCUACAGCACUUCUUUGUACUGAAAGGAGAAUGUACAAUACACACGAGAGCACUUUUCUUACAUCCUUUUGGAAACUCAUUAUUAAAGUUUGGUUGUCUAUUCCUCACACUUGUGCUGGCAUUUAAUGGUUUAAUUAUGUUACUGAUCAAUUAAGCCUGUAUUAAUAUUCCUUUCAAGAGUCCCUGGAAUCCUUGGCAGUACUGAGAGAACAAGGGAGACUGAUAGGGCAAAGAGGUUAUAUACUGACCCCAGGAAACAUAAUAUUUGCAUUUUGUAUUGAGCAUUUCAAGGAGAAAAAAAAAUAAAGCUAAUGCCUUUAGUCAUCUAAACUAGAUGUGUAUAGAGGAUGAGCCACAUGGAGAACAGGAUCUCUAAUCUCUACCAGAACACUGGAUGGUGUAAAAUAGGAGGGCUAAGCAUACUGCCCCCAAAACCCACACAUUUAUUAUUUUUUUUUGCAGCCAGUUUAAUAAAAGCAUCCUGAUUUUUUAAAAAGCACACAAAAACUUUUUAGUAAUAAUUUGGGACUGGUCAUGCAAAUUCCAGUGCAAGACACAUUGAUAAACAUCAGGUCUGGCUUUUGAGAUACAUUUACAUUUCUAAGAGGAAAAAAGAGUGGGAUAAAUUAUUUCAAACCACUCUCCUGGUCCCCCCAAGCAGCAGUUUUAUUUCAUGAAGAGUGUGGAUGGGCCCUGGAAACAAAACAGAGCUAUUGCCAUUGAUAGAUUUGCUUGAAAUUUGAUGUUUAUAGUUGUGCUCCAAUUUGGGCGCCUUCAAGUAGAGAAUAAGGAGUCAAGAGGAGGGAAUUAUAAGAAAAUUUGGGUCUGAAAUACGGUGGCUUUGGAGACUAUUUGGUAAAUACAGUUAAUCUCAAGGCCAGGAAGUUCUUUCAACGUAUACUAUGGCAUGUGCCAAACUAGAAAUUGGAGAGUCAGAUGUGAUGUCCUCUGUGUGUCCUGUCUGUUCUUUGAAACCAGAGCUGUAAAACUAUUGAACUGCUACAUAAGGAGUAGAACAGAUACAGCAUGAUUCCGAAUCCUCCCAAGGACAGUUCAAAAUUUGCCUUCAGAUUUUUCUCUAGGUACAUGUUUUCCUGCAGGAUUGUGGUGACAUAAUUUUUUUUAAUUUAUUCAAUAGGAUAGGAAAUGGCUUUAAUAAUAAUUUUGGUCCAUGUUAUUCUAAAAAGUCUGGAUGGACUCUAGUAAGAAUGAUGAACAUAUUAUGAUGACAAGUCAGCAAAUAUUCAAUAAUCACUUGUUAUGAACAGGGAGGAGGUAAAAAUCUAAUAAAUAUGGAGUGUCUCUACUGGGCCUAUCCUAAGAAAUUCUACAUACAUCAUAUCUAUUAUUCCUCACAGAACCCCAUGGAGACCUGUAUACAGGUCCUCAUUUUGACAGUUGAGAAAAAUGCGGUUUAGAGAGUCACAACAUGAGAAGCAGGAACACUUUUGGUGUGAUAUAAGUACCCCCUGCCUUCCUCAAAGAAUCUGUAGACCAACUGGAGAGAAGAGACAAAUAUUUGAAAUAAGAAAUUAUCUAUGUCAGAGUAGACAUUUUAUUGAAGGGAGUGCUUGGCAUAUCAGUCAAUAUUAUUGUAUUUGAGAGAAACAGGAUUUCACAAAGAACUAUUCUGGUGUUCAGGAAAGAUAGGAUGGACAAAGUGGGACUCAAAUUCGACACAGAUCCUUGAAAACAGUAGAAUUUAAGCCGAGAGGAUGUGCGAGGCAUUGCCAGCGGUGGAAUGCUUCUGUUCAAAGGCCCAUAGAUGCAUAAUCAAAGGUGGGUUAGGCAGAAAAUGGUUGACCAUUGUGAUGGUAAGGGUUUUUGGGGAGGAAAAGCUAACAGUAAGGUUAAAUUUAGUCUAUAGAUGUUAUAUUUCAGCUUGUGUUACCCUUUUGUUUAGUAUUUGUAUAGUAUCUGUAGAACAAUCAACCUAAGGUUUUCUGUUAAUCUGACAUGGAGAAACAGAAGAGACAGAAAGAUCAUGGACACGAGAGAGGAGACAGUGUGGAUGAUGUCAAUAAAAAUUUUAUAAACCAGAUAUUUUUGCUGUGGAUUUAAGAUUGAGAGAUUUUUUUUUAAGAUGGCUGCUGUGUACACAUCUUAUUCCAUUUUAUUUCUAUUAGUUUCAUAUUACCACUCUAGCAAAUUACCAUAAACACUGGUAUUGGAACACAAAUUUGUAAUCCUACAGUUCUGAAGGUUAGAAGUUCAAAAUGACUCUCAUUAGGCUAGAAUCAAGAUGUUGGCAGAGUUGUGUUCCUUUUGAGAGCUCCAGGAGAGAAUUUAUGUCCUUGUCUUGUCCAGCCUCUAGAGGUUGCCUGAAUCUUCCAGCAAUCAUACCCUGACCUCUGCUUCCUUUAUCACAUUUUCUUUUCUGACUCUCCUGCCUCCUCCUUUCUCUUAUAAGGACCCUUGUGAUCACCCCAUCUCAAGAUCCUUAAUCACAUCUCUAAGUCCCUUUUGCUAUGUAAGGCAACAUAUUCACAGGUUUCUGGGAUUAGGACAUGGACAUCUUUGGGUGGCCAUUAUUUUGCCUACUACACCAUCACAUGGCAAAAACACCAUUACUUUAGAUCGAUCAGUUGAUCCAUCCAUCCAUCCAUCCAUCCAUCCAUCCAUCCAUCCAUCCUCCAUUCUAAAUGGGGAAAUGCAGCAUGUGCAUAGAUGUGAAUUGAUGGUUCAUAUCUCUGUCUUGACUAUGUCACUCUGAGCAUCCAUUAAAUCCUCUGAGCCUCAAUACUAUCAUUUGAAAAACUGAGGUAUUUUACCCAUCUCUACGUUCUCUUGUGGGGAUUAAUGAGAUAAUGGAGGUGAAAAUAUAUGGAGCAGUACCUAUUACAAGCCAUUAACUAAAACCAAGCAGCAGCAGUAGUAAUGGCAUUCUGUGGGGGUGCCAAAAAAUUUGAAAAAUAGUUAGCCUGGGUGGCUCAGUUGGUUGGGCGACUGCCUUCGGCUCAGGUCAUGAUCCUGGAGUCCCGGGAUCGAGUCCCGCGUCGGGCUCCCUGCUCGGCGGGGAGUCUGCCUCUCUCUCUGACCCUCCCCCCUCUCAUGCUCUCUAUCUCAUUCUCUCUCUCAAAUAAAUAAAUAAAAUCUUAAAAAAAAUAGUUAUACUGAAGCACAUAGAAUAGGUAUAGAGCCAGACUGAACAACUGUUACUAAUUCAAAGAGAAUUAUUUUGAUACAGCUGAAACUAACAUAACACUGUAUGUUAACUAUAUGGAACUAAAGUAAAAUAAAAAGAAAAUUAAUUUGAAAUACAAUAAAACCAUUGUUGAGAAUAACAGGGUUUCUUUAUUCAAGUUUUGUAUCAAUUCUGUCUCAGCUUCAUAUCACUGAUGAAGGUUCUCAAAUUUCUUUUUAGUAUUUUUGUAACAGGGAAUGAGUUAGGUGGACCCAGAUAUUUCCCCAAUUAUAAAUCAUCUGAAAUUCAGAUUGAUCCUGGCAUUUGUAUCCUCAAUGCCAAUCUUCUAAGGAU